rnacentral:rRNA from 1 species
AGGGAAUCUUCCACAAUGGACGAAAGUCUGACGGAGCAACGCCGCGUGAGUGAAGAAGGCCUUCGGGUCGUAAAACUCUGUUGCCGGGGAAGAACAAGUGCCGUUCGAACAGGGCGGCGCCUUGACGGUACCCGGCCAGAAAGCCACGGCUAACUACGUGCCAGCAGCCGCGGUAAUACGUAGGUGGCAAGCGUUGUCCGGAAUUAUUGGGCGUAAAGCGCGCGCAGGCGGCUUCUUAAGUCGGAUGUGAAGUCUUGCGGCUCAACCGCAAGCGGUCAUUGGAAACUGGGAGGCUUGAGUGCAGAAGAGGAGAGUGGAAUUCCACGUGUAGCGGUGAAAUGCGUAGAGAUGUGGAGGAACACCAGUGGCGAAGGCGACUCUCUGGGCUGUAACUGACGCUGAGGCGCGAAAGCGUGGGGAGCAAAC